rnacentral:rRNA from 1 species
AUUGAACGCUGGCGGCACGCCUUACACAUGCAAGUCGAACGGUAACAGGUCUUCGGAUGCUGACGAGUGGCGAACGGGUGAGUAAUACAUCGGAACGUGCCCGAGAGUGGGGGAUAACGAGGCGAAAGCUUUGCUAAUACCGCAUACGAUCUCAGGAUGAAAGCAGGGGACCGCAAGGCCUUGCGCUCACGGAGCGGCCGAGGUCAGAUUAGGUAGUUGGUGGGAUAAAGGCUUACCAAGCCGACGAUCUGUAGCUGGUCUGAGAGAACGACCAGCCACUCGGGGUCUGGGACACGGCCCACGCACCUACGGGAGGCAGCAGUGAGGCAGUUUGGACAAUGGGCGCAAGCCUGGUCCAGCCAUGCCGCGUGCAGGAUGAAGGCCUUCGGGUUGUGACCUGCUUUUGUACGGAACGAAAAGACUCUGGUUAAUACCUGGGGUCCAUGACGGUACCGUAAGAAUAAGCACCGGCUAACUACGUGCCAGCCGCCGCGGUAAAAC